rnacentral:rRNA from 1 species
CGUAACAAGGUCUCCGUAGGUGAACCUGCGGAGGGAUCAUUACACAAAUAUGAAGGCGGGCUGGAACCUCUCGGGGUUACAGCCUUGCUGAAUUAUUCACCCUUGUCUUUUGCGUACUUCUUGUUUCCUUGGUGGGUUCGCCCACCACUAGGACAAACAUAAACCUUUUGUAAUUGCAAUCAGCGUCAGUAACAAAUUAAUAAUUACAACUUUCAACAACGGAUCUCUUGGUUCUGGCAUCGAUGAAGAACGCAGCGAAAUGCGAUAAGUAGUGUGAAUUGCAGAAUCCAGUGAAUCAUCGAAUCUUUGAACGCACAUUGCGCCCUUUGGUAUUCCAAAGGGCAUGCCUGUUCGAGCGUCAUUUGUACCCUCAAGCUUUGCUUGGUGUUGGGCGUCUUGUCUCUAGCUUUGCUGGAGACUCGCCUUAAAGUAAUUGGCAGCCGGCCUACUGGUUUCGGAGCGCAGCACAAGUCGCACUCUCUAUCAGCAAAGGUCUAGCAUCCAUUAAGCCUUUUUUUCAACUUUUGACCUCGGAUCAGGUAGGGAUACCCGCUGAACUUAAGC